UGAGGAAUAUUGGGCAAUGCCCGCAAGGGUGACCCAGCAACGCCGCGUGGAGGAUGAAUGUCGUAAGAUUGUAAACUUCUGUUAGAGGGGAAGAAUAGUACCGGUUGGACCGGUAUAUGACUGUACCCUCAGAGAAAGCCCCGGCUAACUACGUGCCAGCAGCCGCGGUAAUACGUAGGGGGCAAGCGUUGUCCGGAUUUACUGGGUGUAAAGGGCGCGCAGGCGGGAUAAAAAGUCAGUGGUGAAAUCCUACAGCUUAACUGUAGAACUGCCUUUGAUACUUUUAUUCUUGAGUUCGGGAGAGAGAGACGGAAUUCCAGGUGUAGUGGUGAAAUACGUAGAUAUCUGGAAGAACACCAGUUGCGAAGGCGGUCUCUUGGUCCGACACUGACGCUGAGGCGCGAAAGCGUGGGGAGCAAACA
rnacentral:rRNA from 1 species